UCGGUAGCUCAGUUGGUAGAGCAGAGGACUGAAAAUCCUUGUGUCGACAGUUCGAUUCUGUCCCGAG
rnacentral:tRNA from 1 species